UUCAUGGCAAUGUUGGAAGGCGGACAAAUAAGUGGUACGCAACAAGACAUAGCGAAAUAAAGGAGACAACUAGCAUGGCAAUGAUAGUAAUGGUAUUUAGAAGAAAUAGUCAUCUUGCAUGUGAUCUCGCUUGGAAGAAGAACGAAUCUGUGAAGCAGACGAACUAGCGUAGUCGAACAAAUGCUCACAUUCCUACAUGCUUGCGGAACUCUAUCGAGAAUAAGCAAUCCACAACAAGAAUCAACACAUGAUAUUCACUAUACAUAUGCAUGACAUGAUGCACAACACAUAUGAUGCAUGUCUGUUUUAAUUAUGCAAGGCAUGACACAUCA
rnacentral:lncRNA from 1 species